rnacentral:rRNA from 1 species
GACGAACGCUGGCGGCGUGCUUAACACAUGCAAGUCGAACGGAAAGGCCCUGCUUUUGUGGGGUGCUCGAGUGGCGAACGGGUGAGUAACACGUGAGUAACCUGCCCUUGACUUUGUGAUAACUUCAGGAAACUGGGGCUAAUACCGGAUAGGAGCUCCUGCUGCAUGGUGGGGGUUGGAAAGUUUCGGCGGUUGGGGAUGGACUCGCGGCUUAUCAGCUUGUUGGUGGGGUAGUGGCUUACCAAGGCUUUGACGGGUAGCCGGCCUGAGAGGUGGAACGGCCACAUGGGGACUGAGAUACGGACCAGACUCCUACGGGAGGCAGCAGGGGGGAAUAUUGCACAAUGGGCGGAAGCCUGAUGCAGCAACGCCGCGUGCGGGAUGACGGCCUUCGGGUUGUAAACCGCUUUCGCCUGUGACGAAGCGUGAGUGACGGUAAUGGGUAAAGAAGCACCGGCUAACUACGUG